UCUGCGCCAACUACCGUGGGAUAAGCCUUCUAAACAUCGGAUACAGUGUGGCUUCAGGCCUGGAAAAUCAACAACUGAGCACAUAGUCACCACGCGCCAAAUCCUGAAAAACACCCGUAAAAAAGGAUCAGCACACCUCCGUAGAUUUCAAAGCUGCUUUUGCAGUUCGAACUAUUUUCUACAGGAUUAGAUUGAAAAAGUCGCACUAUAGAUAGUCGCUUUGUCUGAUACCUCGUUUGGUAUAGAGCCGUUCGAGAGAUCCUUCCCAAUCCUUACGGAUAUUUUGGUAUUGCUCAACGUAAGUUUACAUAGCCGUAUUAGUUUUGCGGUGAUAUCAAAUUCAGACAUAGACGCAUAAAGCAACUUCUUUUCGAGCUGUCAAAAACAGCUUUGGAAUGGACGGAAAGGUGCGGGAUCUCUUUUAACGGGUUUUUCCCGUAUUUGGCGCACGGUGAUUGUCUGCUCUUCUUCUUCUUUAGUUGCGAAGACACCGCUUUCGCGAUUAUAGCCGAGUUAACAGCGCGCCAGUCGUUUUUUUUUGUCGAUACGUGGUGCCAAUUCCAUCCGGGGCCCUAUUCUGUAUCUCGAUUCGAAAGUAAAUUCUUUUCGAAUUUAAUAUUCGACUCGAAUGUGUUUUAGCAUUCUGUAAAAAAAUCGAAAUAAGUUUAUAAAUAUGCGAAAGUUGUACCACCCUGUGUCAGUAUUUUCGAAUGCUAAAUGUCCAAAUAAAAUGAAAUAAGUUUAAAUUUAUCUGAAAAAUAUGGAUUCCGUUGCAUUGUGGAUGGAGGACGAGGAAAUUAUUGAGGAAAGGAUUACGAGAAGAUACAUAAAUGAAUUUAAUAUUAUGGAAUUAUCGCAAAAUAGCUUCAUACAAAACUUUAGACUUUCUAAGGAAGCCUUUGAUUAUGUUUUAAGAGGCAUAACUGAAGAACUAACGGUACCUAUAAGAUCCACGGCAGUAAAUCCAGCUAUAAAACUUGCUGCUACUUUAAAAUUCCUUGGUCAAGGGGGCUAUCAACAUCAAAUAGGGCAAGACCGGUUUGCAGCGUUAGCACAGUCCACCACAUCUCAAUGUAUUGCAGAAGUUUUGAAUGCUAUUGAAAAAGCAAUGUGUCCGAAACACAUAAAAUUUGAAAUGAGCUUACAAGAAAAGCGUGAAGCUAAGAAUUAAUCUUAUUCAAAAUUUGGAUUACCAGGAAUAAUAGGUGCUGUUGAUGGAACUCACAUUCAGAUGGUUAGACCAGUAAAAGAUGAACAUCUCUUUUUUAAUCAAAAGCUAAAGCAUAGCGUCAAUGCUAUGGUGAUUUGUGACCAUAACAUGAAUAUAAGAGCUGUAAAUGGAGUUUAUGGUGGAGCAGCGCAUGAUGCACACGUAUGGAGCCUUUCAAACAAAUGACAAAACAUGCUAUCCAACUAUCAAAAUGGAGAUAAAUCUUCAUGGUUAAUUGGCCGGUGAUUCUGGAUAUCCAUUAGUGCCAUGGCUCCUUACGCCUUACCGCAAUGCAGAAGAAAAUUCACUUGAAAGUUUGUACAAUGAAAAAUUUACAAAAGCAAGAUCAAUAAUCGAGCGUGUAUUUGGAAUUUUAAAAAGUCGUUUUCGAUGCCUGCUUGCUGGAAGAGAGCUUCACUAUGCACCAAAAAAAGUUGUUAAAAUUUUGAACGUUUGUUGUGCCCUGCAUAACAUUUGCCUCAUAUACAACGUUGAAGCACCAACAGUAAUUGAAAUUAAUGAAGAACGAUCUAAUUUGGCUUUACCCAGCGUAGAUCAAAACGAGUUUUCACGAAUUGCGCAAACAAUACGAGACCGAAUUAAAAUAAGCUUGCGUUCGUAAUUUAAAUAAAGUAACUAAAAAGCAAUCCAUUUA
rnacentral:lncRNA from 1 species